CUCACAGCAACCAGAUCCUUAACCCACUGACUGAGGCCAGGAAUCGAACCCGCCACCUCAUGGUUCCUAGUCGGAUUCGUUUCCACUGCACCACGACAGGAACUCCUCUUUGGUGGAUUUAAAUGACUUCCAGAGAGCAUCUCCGUCUGAGCCAGCACGGCUGACCCUCGUCAGUCCACCCUGUCCCCCUGUCCCCCACGAAGUGAUCGGCUGUGUCGACCCCAAACACCAUCCCCCCUCAACACUGCUCCAUCAUAAGAGUACUGGACAGAGGUGCUGCAUCAUUUAGCCCUGCAGGUGGGACUUUUUUUCCCUUUCUUGGCCACUCUGCUGCAUGUGGAGUUCCCGAGCCAGGGAUCAUAUCUGAGCCACAGUAUAGACGGAAGUCGCAGCUGUGGCAAUGCUAGAUUCUUAACCCACUGUGCCAGAUCGGGGAUUGAACCUGUGUCCCAGCGCUUCCAAGAUGCCCGCCGAUCCCGUGUUGCCACAUCAGGAACUCUCAAGGUGGGACCUGCCCACAAGUUACCUGGAAGGCAGGACUUUCCCCCUCACUUUAUAGUUGAGCCAACACGACCUUACCCAGCAGCCACUUCCUGGUGGUUUAAACCAGUGGUUCUCAUGAAAUAUGAAAAAUCAGUAGAUACAUAAGUAAAUGAAUAAAAUUGGAGUUCCCUGGUGGCUCAGUGUGUUAAGGAUCUGGUGUUGUCACUGCUGCAGGCGCAGGCUUGAUCCUGGCUUGGGAACUUCCAUGUGCUGCAGGCAUGGGCCCCAAAAUAAAUUUAAAAAAAUGCCCUAGUUGUCAGGUGGGGGUCAUUCUGCCCCCAGGGGACAUGGGCAGUGUCACGACCAGGGUGGGGGUGCUGGUGGCCUCUCUGGUUGGGGACCAGGAAUGCUGGUUAACAUCCCACGAUGCUCCGGACAGCCGCACACGGGUUGGGAACAGUGCUGGGUGGAGACACCUGUGGGUCUUUCCUCGGGUGUCUUAGAACCAAGAGAAGGUGACAAGCCGCAGAGGUGGAAGAGCCCCCAGGGCCCCCAACUGCCUGAGUCUGCCAGUGGCCCUUGAAGGCCCGCCUGGACCCCACCUCGGUGCAGUGCAGGGGGCUCCCAGCCCAGUCUCCUGAGGGCAGGGAUCUGCAUGGCCCACCCAGGCUGGGCAUGUGUGGCCAGGCCGGCCGGCUACAGGCAGGUGUGGUGCUCACAGGGAGCAGGUGGCGAGGGGGGUCCCGGGGAGCAGGGGCUGUCCCUGGCAGACCCCCGUCUCUGCAGGUGGGGGGGGCGAGAAAAUCGGGGACACUUUGGUGAGAGCUCGAAGGAAGUGCAGUUGCUCCCCUGUAAUUUGAGCCCUGAGGACCUAGGGACACAGAAGAAGCUUUACCUGGCCACCUGGGAGCUGGUGGCAGGUGGGGACCAGGCCCCGGCCUGUCCUCAGGAGCCUGUGGACGCUGUGGGAGGGGGCGGGCCCUGUGUUGAUGGAGACCCAGGUUGGGGGGUGCACAGCCUGGAUUUGGAGGAGUGGUCCCCUGGGUGCGUGUAAAGGCUGGCCAGGAAUCAGAGAGGAGGGCCCUGGAGGAGACCCCAGCUCGUCCUGCUGGGGACGUGCCGGAGGCUCAGCGUGGCCGGCUGUGGUGUGGCCAGUGGGCCGUGGUCAGCCGCAGGGCCAGGUAGAGCAGUCCUUGGGCCCUCCUGGCUCGUGGGAGCAGCAGGUGCUGGUGACCCAUCUCAGCGACUUUACGGAGUCUGGUGUGGAAUGGACCGGAGUGGGGUGGGCCGUGAGAAAGCGGCUGGCAUGUAGGUGCAGGCAGGGUGGGCUUCCUGGAGGCAGUACCCUGGCCGGGGAAGCCGCACGAUUCUUGAAAUGGAGAGGAGGUCAGAGGAGGCCUGGGAGGUGCAGCUGCAGGGCCUGAGACCGAGGUUGCCACCCAGAGGCUACUCUGAGCUGGAAGGAUCUUUGCAUAGAAACAGCUUAGAGGAGGCCUGGUUUUCUAGGGCCCCUGCCCUGCUGCCUGCUGCCGGGGGGGUGCUGGUGCACCUGGGGAGGCCUAGAGGCUGCUCAGGGCGCUUGCAUAGAGAACUGAUUGGGGCGCGUAGUGACCUUGAAGUGAUUUCCGCAUCCUCUUUUAAGCGGAUCUCAACCUCCCCCUUCCCUUCGAAAAUAAUGCUGAAGGUCCUGCUGUGUCCACUGGGAACUCUAUCUAGGCACUUAGGAUGGAGCAUGAUGACGUGAGAACGAAGAACGUACACGCGUCUGUGUGCCUGGGUCCGCUUGCUCACAGUAGAAAACGACAGAACGCCGUAAGCCAGCUCUGAUGGAAAAAAUGAAAAUCAUCAUUAAAAAGAUAAAAUUAUCCUGGACUAGUACCCCUCUUUGCGGAAGAGCGCUCUCUGUGGUCCUCCUGGCAUCGUGGGUAUUCCUGAGUGGUCCCGAGGAGUCCCGUCGCCGUGGCAACCCCGCGCUCAUCAGAGGAGCUCUGCGUUGAAUUCCCAUCUCCCUUUGGUGGGAUUAAUAUUUAUCGCACAUCCCGAAGUUGCUUACCUUCGUGCUCCCUGUCCAGUCGUCAGAAUAAUUAAGGGACCCUUAGACGGUGGAAGGGACGAAGCGCCUGCUCUGAGCGGGUUUUAAGCGCUCUGAUUGAUUUCCCCCCCCCUGCUGUGGUUGGCAGAGGGCAGGACCUUGACCCGGCUAUUUUCUUGUUUUCAAACAUGUGGUCCCAUCACAGGAGAGACGUACCCUCAGAAAGCCCGUUUCCUCGUUGCAUCAGUCGCACACUUGACCUUUUCAGAUGAAAAAUGGCUUUACUUCCUCGCGAGUGUAUUUAUUAUUUAUAUUAUGUAGAAGCUGAAAAACCUAUCAGUAAAUUUAGGGGUCCCUUAUUAACCCACGUUGGCCCCCUGUUGUUAAUCUGCUCAUCUAUACUAAUUGUGUGGGGGUGAGAGGAUGUAAACACGGACUACAAUCAUUCUGGAA